GUGGGGGCGGGGAGGUGGACGCGGCGGGCCGGUCGCCGCGCCCCAGUGGAAAACACUCCCCGACAGGAAGUUGGCGAAGAGGAGCCUGGCGUCCCGCGCCCGCUUUCUGACAGGGCCGCGGCGGCGGCUGGCGGGCGCACCGACGGCUUUCUUCCCGCUUGCGCCCGGGCCAAGUGCGUCCCGGCCCUGCGGCCCAGGCCCGCGUCCGCCCAGGCGGCCGCCGGAGACCAAUAUAUUUAUUGUUGGAUUUAUCCAGGAAGGCUGUUCUACAUCGGUUAAAUUCAUCACAUCUUCAAGAAAUGUUAAAUGA